GGCAACUCUCUCAGUUUCACUUCUACAGUGUGGAAGCUUUGUUCUUUCCCUCUUUGCAAUACAUCUUGCUGCUCCUCUCUCUGUGGGUCCGCGCUGCUUUUAUGAGCUGUAACACUCACUGUGAAGGUCUGCAGUUUCUCUCCUGAAGCCAGCGAGACUAGGAAUCCACUGGCAGGAAUGAACAACUCGUGAGGCGCCACCUUUAUGAACUGUUCAACACUCACCACAAAGGUCUGCAGCUGCAGUCCUGAAGCCAGCGAGACCACGAACCCACCGGGAGGAAAAAACACCUCCGGAUGCGCCGCCUUUAAGAGCUGUUACACUGACUGCGGAGGUCUGCGGCUUCACUCCUGAAGUCAGCGAGACCACAAACCCACCAGAAGGAAGAAACUCCGGACACGUCCUAGCAUCAGAAGGAACAAACUCUGGGCACACCAUCUUUAAGAACUGUAACACUCACCACGAAGUGAUUCAUCUAAGUUUGGUGCUGAUUGGAAUGAGGUAGCCCAGAGGGAGAGAGGGAGGGUUAGAAGAUGACAAGGAGAAUGAAAGCCAGAGAGUGCAUGCAGCUGAUCAGGAGACAAAGAAGAUCCACAAAAACAAAGCUCUGCAAAUGCCAGAAAAAGAUUCAAGCAGGAGAGGAAGCUGCACAUGUGCCAAAAGGUGAAAAUUCUCCCCCUCUACAUGAAGCAGCAGUGUUACCAAAUCCAAUAACAUGCAAGCCAUAAAGAUGUCUAUAUUGGGGUGAGUAAAGAGGAUCUGCUGGAAACCACUCCCCUGGAGAGCAGCAGGAGAGGCAUAUUCUGUGGCCUGGAGAUAGACAACAGUGUGUGUCUGUAAAGAAACUCAUGAGCCCUGGGAUAGGGGUGUGACAGGGAAACAGCGUUCUGGUCUUUCUGGGAGGUGGAGCUAGUGCAGACCCCUUACCUCACCCAGAGACAUAGGUCAUUUCACCAGAAGCUCCCCCAGGCACUCUAGUCCAUGCUGGUACCUGUGCUUGUCAUUGAAACAUCCAUGGGCAAGCCAGGUGGUCCAGCUGUGCCUAGUUGCAUCUCACCUUCUCCUCUGCAAAAAGGAAGCUCAGGGCACUGGAUGUUGUACAGUCCAGCACAUCAUCUGAAACAACGGAGAACACCUCACAAUAAACAAAGACCAAGUACAUAUCCAUCUGCUCUUGUCUAAGCUGUCUCUUACCCAUAAGCAUCUCCUACUGGCCUGUAGGUUAAACUGCACAACCCAAUAUAAAUCUGGCUGAUGGAAGAACAGAGGGCUACAGAAGCAAAGCUAAAAUACCCUACCACAAAUCCUCUACAGUAACACCCUUGUCAGGGGUUGAGGGCACAAAUAAAGCCGUGAAUAAAAUUAGAUAAAAAACCCAAUCUAAAUAAAAGUAAAUUCAAAACCAACAAGUGUCAGCUUCUCCAGAUGACAAGUAACCAGUGUAAGAAUUCUGGUACCAUGAAAAACCUGAAUGUUGUGACACCACCAAUGGAUCACACUAGCUCUCUAGCAAAGAAUUCUAACCACAAUGAAAACUCUGAAAUGGCAGAUAGAUAAUUCAAAGUAUAGAUUGCAAAGAAGAUCACUGAGAUCCAAGAGAAGGUUGAAAGCCAACACAAUGAAACCACAAAAGCAAUCCAGGAAAUGAAGAAAGAGAUAUAUUAAAAAAAAAAGAACUACUGGAAAUAAAAAAUUCACUUAAGGAAUUUAAACGUGUAGCUGAAAACUUUAGCCAUAGAAUAAACCAAGCAGAAGAAAUAAUUUUGUAGCUUGAAGAUCAGUCAAAUCUGUCUUUCAAAGUAACCCAGUCAGACAAAAAUAAAGAAAAAAAUAAACCCAAUGCCUUUGAGAAAUGUGAAAUUAUUUAAGUCAUCAAACAUAUAAUUUACAGAAAUUCCUGAGGAAGAGGAAGAAAAAUAAAGAAAUUUGGAAAGCAUAUUUGAGGAAAUAAUGCAGGAUUUUUUUUUAUUUUGCUAGAGAUGUAGACAUCCAGAUACAAGAAAUUAGGCAACGCCUGGGAGAUAUGACACAAAACAAAUGUCAAAAAGCAUAUAGACAUCAGACUAUCUUUCUUAGAUAUGCCACUGAGAAAGAACAUAUCUUAAAAUCAUCUAGAGAAAAAUGAUGAAUCUCCUAUAAGUGGAAUCCCGUUAUACUAAUAGCAGACUUAACAGAAACACUACAAGCCAGAAGAGAUUGGGAGCCUGUUUUUUGCCCCCUUCAAAAAAAUUGCCAGCCAAGAAUUUUAUAUCCUACCUAACUAAGCUUCUUAAUUGAAGGAGAGAUAGUCUUUCCCAGACAAGGAAAUACUAAGUGAAUUUAUCACCACUAGAUUGGUCCUACAAGACAUGCUCAAGGAAGUUCCGAACAUGUAAACAAGAGGAUGCUACUCAUCAUCAUAAAAAGACCU